rnacentral:rRNA from 1 species
AACGAACGCUGGCGGCAUGCCUAACACAUGCAAGUCGAACGAGACCUUCGGGUCUAGUGGCGCACGGGUGCGUAACGCGUGGGAACCUGCCCUUAGGUUCGGAAUAACUCCCCGACAGGGGUGCUAAUACCGGAUAAUGUCUUCGGACCAAAGAUUUAUCGCGUUUGGAUGGGCCGGAGUUGGAUUAGCUAGUUGGUAGGGUAAAAGCCUACCAAGGCGACGAUCCAUAGCUGGUUUGAGAGGAUGAUCAGCCACACUGGGACUGAGACACGGCCCAGACUCCUACGGGAGGGAGCAGUGGGGAAUAUUGGACAAUGGGCGAAGGCAUGAUCCAGCAAUGCCGCGUGAGUGAUGAAGGCCUUAGGGUUGUAAAGCUCUUUUACCCGGGAUGAUAAUGACGGUACCGGGAGAAUAAGCUCCGGCUAACUCCGUG